rnacentral:rRNA from 1 species
UACGGAGGGUGCAAGCGUUAUCCGGAUUCAUUGGGUUUAAAGGGAGCGUAGGCGGCCUUGUAAGUCAGUGGUGAAAUCUCGCAGCUUAACUGCGAAACUGCCAUUGAUACUGCAGGGCUUGAGUACAGAUGCUGUGGGCGGAAUAUGACAUGUAGUGGUGAAAUACAUAGAGAUGUCAUAGAACACCGAUUGCGAAGGCAGCUCACAAAACUGUAACUGACGCUGAGGCUCGAAAGUGUGGGGAUCAAACAGG